rnacentral:rRNA from 1 species
GCGGAGGAAAAGAAACCAACAGGGAUUGCCUCAGUAACGGCGAGUGAAGCGGCAAAAGCUCAAAUUUUAAAGCUGGCAUCUUCGGUGCCCGCGUUGUAAUUUUGUGAGGCAUCUCCGGGUAGGGCGCCGGCCUAAGUUCCUUGGAACAGGACGUCACAGAGGGUGAGAAUCCCGUGCUUGGCUGGCUGUCCCCGCCCACGUGAGGUGUCUUCGACGAGUCGAGUUGUUUGGGAAUGCAGCUCAAAAUGGGUGGUAAAUUUCAUCUAAAGCUAAAUAUUGGUGGGAGACCGAUAGCGCACAAGUAGAGUGAUCGAAAGAUGAAAAGCACUUUGAAAAUAGAGUUAAAAAGUACGUGAAAUUGUUGAAAGGGAAGCGCUUGAGACCAGACUUCGGUAGGGGGUGAUCAGCCGUCCUUCUGGGCGGUGCACUUGCCCCCCUCCGGGCCAGCAUCGGUUGAGGCGGCGGGAUAAAGGUCCCGGGAAUGUGGCUCCCUCACGGGAGUGUUAUAGCCCGGGUGAAUGCCGCCAGCCUCGACCGAGGACCGCGCCCGCAAGGGCUAGGAUGCUUGGCGUAAUGGUCUUCAGCGACCCGUCU